UACGUAGGGUCCGAGCGUUGUCCGGCAUUACUGGGCGUAAAGAGCUCGUAGGUGGUUUGUCGCGUUGUUCGUGAAAACUCACAGCUUAACUGUGGGCGUGCGGGCGAUACGGGCAGACUGGAGUACUGCAGGGGAGACUGGAAUUCCUGGUGUAGCGGUGGAAUGCGCAGAUAUCAGGAGGAACACCGGUGGCGAAGGCGGGUCUCUGGGCAGUAACUGACGCUGAGGAGCGAAAGCGUGGGGAGCGAACAGG
rnacentral:rRNA from 1 species